rnacentral:rRNA from 1 species
UACGGUAGGGUGCGAGCGUUUGUCCGGAAUUAUUGGGCGUAAAGAGCUCGUAGGCGGCUUGUCACGUCGAUUGUGAAAGCCCGAGGCUUAACCUCGGGUCUGCAGUCGAUACGGGCUAGCUAGAGUGUGGUAGGGGAGAUCGGAAUUCCGUGGUGUAGCGGUGAAAUGCGCAGAUAUCAGGAGGAACACCGGUGGCGAAGGCGGGAUCUCUGGGCCAUUACUGACGCUGAGGAGCGAAAGCGUGGGAGCGAACAG